CUGUGGUGGUAUGAGUUGGUGAACCGUAGCUAUGUGAGCUUGGCUUUUGAAUUGGCUUUGCUGUUGCGAAGUAGAGUGGCGGCUUCGGCUGUCGAGGGUCGAUCCAUUUGGGAACUUGUGUAUGCUUCGGCAUGCAUCUCAAUGGACCUGAUAUCAGGC
rnacentral:rRNA from 1 species